rnacentral:rRNA from 1 species
CGUAGGGUGCGAGCGUUAAUCGGAAUUACUGGGCGUAAAGCGUGCGCAGGCGGUUCGUCGUGUCCGAUGUGAAAGCCCCGGGCUCAACCUGGGAAUGGCAUUGGAAACUGGCGGACUCGAGUGUGGCAGAGGGGGUGGAAUUCCGCGUGUAGCAGUGAAAUGCGUAGAGAUGCGGAGGAACACCGAUGGCGAAGGCAGCCCCCUGGGCUAACACUGACGCUCAGGCACGAAAGCGUGGGGAGCAAACAGGAUUAGAUACCCUGGUAGUCCACGCCCUAAACCAUGUCAACUGGGUGUUCGGGAAGCGAUUCCUGAGUACCGUAGCUAACGCGUGAAGUUGACCGCCUGGGGAGUACGGCCGCAAGGUU